CCAAUAGCGUAUAUUAAAGUUGUUGCAGUUAAAAAGCUCGUAGUUGAAUUUCGGGGUUCUACCGUUGGUCGGGCUAUUGUCUGUACUAGUGUGUAGAAUUUCUACCUUCUGGGGAACCAUCAUGUUAUUAAUUUAGCGUGGUGGGAAACCAGGACCUUUACCUUGAAAAAAUUAGAGUGUUCAAAGCAGGCUUACGUCUGAAUACAUUAGCAUGGAAUAAUAAAAUAGGACGGUGGUCCUGUUUUGUUGGUUUCUGAAUCACCGUAAUGAUUAAUAGGGAUAGUUGGGGGCAUUAGUAUUCAAUUGUCAGAGGUGAAAUUCUUGGAUUUAUUGAAGACUAACUUCUGCGAAAGCAUUUGCCAAGGAUGUUUUCAUUAAUCAAGAACGAAAGUUAGGGGAUCGAAGACGAUCAGAUACCGUCGUAGUCUUAACCAUAAACUAUGCCGACUAGGGAUCGGGCGAUGUUAAUUUUUCUUGACUCGUUCGGCGCCUUACG
rnacentral:rRNA from 1 species